AUGGAUAGAAUUUCUCUUGAUGUUGAUUCUUUGAAACUUAGAUCUGUUCCACCUAAGCAUGAUAUCAAUGAAUCUCUCAAAGCCAUGAGAAUUUCCAUUAAUGAGUGCAAAGAAAGAACCGCUAGGAUGCGUGCUAAAAAGGAUUGCUUCAUAAAAGCGUGUUCUUCCAGUUUUCUCGAUAAUAAGGAUGAAUAUCUACAAGUGAUUGAUGUGUCUCCUAUUAAAUCUUUGUUUUGCAAUAUGAAUCUUGAUAAUGAUGGGACUGGAGAUGAGUCAACUUUAUCUAAAAGGCGUCCCAAUGAUUCAGAGUUUUUAGAUCUUGUUGCAAAAAUUGGUAAAAGUGGGAUUGAAGAGGUCAAAACUUUACAUAUCAAUGAACCCGCUAUUUUGGAUUUCAAGGAAUUUAAUUAUGAUAAUUGCUCUUUGAUAGAUUUUAUUCCCUUGUUGCAAUCCGUGCUAAAUUCUCCUCAUGCUUAUAGUCAAAAAGCUUUUACCAAACAUAUCAUUGAUGCUUUAAUGAAAUCCUAUGAAGAAAAGCUUGAAUUAGAAGUUUCUAUGCCUAGAAAACUUUAUGAUGAGUGGGAACCUACUAUUAAAAUUAAAAUUAAAGAUCAUGAAUUCUUUGCUUUAUGUGAUUUGGGUGCUAGUGUUUCCAUGAUUCCAAAAACUUUGUGUGAUGUGUUAGGUUUCCGUGAAUUUGAUGAUUGUUCUUUAAAUUUGCACCUCGCGGAUUCCACUAUUAAGAAACCUAUGGGAAGGAUUAAUGAUGUUCUUAUUGUUGCAAAUAGGAAUUAUGUGCCCAUAUAUUUCAUUGUUCUUGAUAUAGAUUGCAAUCCUACAUGCCCUAUUAUUCUUGGUAGACCUAUCCUUAUAACGAUUGGUGCAAUUAUUGAUAUGAAAGAAGGAACAUUAGAUUCCAAUUUCUGUUAA
rnacentral:rRNA from 1 species